UAUCCGUAGGUGAACCUGCGGAAGGAUCAUUAUUGUAUAACCGAGGUGCGAGGGCAGUCGCUGACCCGAAAGGUCGUGCACGCCCGAGUGCCCUCACACACAUCCAUCUCACCCCUAUGUGCACCACCGCGUGGGUCCCCCUUUGGCUUGUUCGGAGGGGGGCUUACGUUUUCACACAAACUUUGUAUGCAGUGUAGAAUGUAUUUUUUGUUUUUGCGAUCACGCAAUCAAUACAACUUUCAACAACGGAUCUCUUGGCUCUC
rnacentral:misc_RNA from 1 species